CGAGAACGCGAACGAAUCUCUGCUAGUGAACAAUUUGACAACAUUUGUAUAUGAGUACGACAUUCGCGCAGGUCUGUUUUCUACCUCCGGAGAUGAAUGCCACCUAAAACCAAUACGCUGUGUUGUAACGGUAUUUGGCAGUAACGGAAUCUCGGUAGUGGGACCACCAAGCUAUAGUGGCGCAUUUGAUCUGAAAACGGACCUUGUUUCCAAACCGUUGAACAUUUGCGUGAUCAAUGACCAUUGCUACCUCUUUAAUGACACAAGUCCCGAUGACGGUCAAUACAUUUGUUACCCGGAUGUAGACCCCUAUCA